rnacentral:rRNA from 1 species
AGCAGUAGCCGCGGUAAAACGAAGGGGGCUAGCGUUGCUCGGAAUGACUGGGCGUAAAGGGCGCGUAGGCGGUUUAGACAGUCGGGUGUGAAAUUCCUGGGCUUAACCUGGGGACUGCAUUCGAGACGUUUAGGCUUGAGUGGGGAAGAGGGUUGUGGGAUUCCCAGUGUAGAGGUGAAAUUCGUAGAUAUUGGGAAGAACACCGGUGGCGAAGGCGGCAACCUGGUCCUUGACUGACGCUGAGGCGCGAAAGCGUGGGGAGCAAACAGGAUUAGAUACCCCCGUAGUCCCUGUCUCUUAUAC